rnacentral:rRNA from 1 species
AGAGUUUGAUCCUGGCUCAGAACGAACGUUGGCGGCGUGGAUUAGGCAUGCAAGUCGAACGAAUCCCAUUUGGGUAACUGAGUGGGGGAAGUGGCGAAAGGGGCAGUAAGGCGUGGGUAACGUACCCCGGGGACCGGGAUAGCCUCCCUAACGGGUGGGUAAUACCGGGCGAUCUGACGCGAUGGCAUCACCGUGUCAGG